rnacentral:tRNA from 2 species
GCCGGAGUGGCGGAAUCGGCAGACGCACGGGUUUCAAAAACCCGCGCCGCAAGGCGUGCGGGUUCAAGUCCCGCCUCCGGCA